UACGUAGGGGGCUAGCGUUGUCCGGAAUCAUUGGGCGUAAAGCGCGUGUAGGCGGUCCGGUAAGUCCGCUGUGAAAGUCGGGGGCUCAACCCUCGAAUGCCGGUGGAUACUGUCGGGCUAGAGUGCGGAAGAGGCGAGUGGAAUUCCUGGUGUAGCGGUGAAAUGCGCAGACAUCAGGAGGAACACCAAUUGCGAAGGCAGCUCGCUGGGACGUAACUGACGCUGAGACGCGAAAGCGUGGGGAGCAAACAGG
rnacentral:rRNA from 1 species